UACGUAGGGUGCAAGCGUUGCCCGGAUUUAUUGGGCGUAAAGGGCGCGUAGGCGGCUUGGCAAGUGGAUGGUGAAAUCCCUCGGCUUAACCGAGGAACUGCCGUCCAAACUGCUUUGCUUGAGACCGGGAGAGGUGAGUGGAAUUCCCAGUGUAGCGGUGAAAUGCGUAGAUAUUAGGAGGAACACCAGUGGCGAAGGCGGCUCACUGGACCGGUACUGACGCUGAUGCGCGAAAGCGUGGGGAGCAAACGGG
rnacentral:rRNA from 1 species